rnacentral:rRNA from 1 species
CCUACGGGAGGCAGCAGUGGGGGAUAUUGCACAAUGGGGGGAACCCUGAUGCAGCGACGCCGCGUGGGUGAAGAAGCGCCUCGGCGCGUAAAGCCCUGUCAGCAGGGAAGAAAAUGACGGUACCUGAAGAAGAAGCCCCGGCUAACUACGUGCCAGCAGCCGCGGUACUACGUAGGGGGCAAGCGUUAUCCGGAUUUACUGGGUGUAAAGGGGGCGCAGACGGCGAUGCAAGCCAGGGGUGAAAGCCCGGGGCCCAACCCCGGGACUGCUCUUGGAACUGCGUGGCUGGAGUGCAGGAGGGGCAGGCGGAAUGCCUGGUGUAGCGGUGAAAUGCGUAGAGAUCAGGAGGAACACCGGUGGCGAAGGCGGCCUGCGGGACUGCAACUGACGUUGAGGCCCGAAAGCGUGGGGAGCAAACAGGAUUAGAUACCCCUGUAGUC